AUUGAACGCUGGCGGCAUGCUUUACACAUGCAAGUCGAACGGCAGCGCGGGCUUCGGCCUGGCGGCGAGUGGCGAACGGGUGAGUAAUGCAUCGGAACGUGCCCAGUAGUGGGGGAUAGCCCGGCGAAAGCCGGAUUAAUACCGCAUACGACCUGAGGGUGAAAGCGGGGGACCGAAAGGCCUCGCGCUAUUGGAGCGGCCGAUGUCGGAUUAGUUAGUUGGUGGGGUAAAGGCUUACCAAGGCGACGAUCCGUAGCCGGUCUGAGAGGACGACCAGCCACACUGGGACUGAGACACGGCCCAGACUCCUACGGGAGGCAGCAGUGGGGAAUUUUGGACAAUGGGGGCAACCCUGAUCCAGCCAUGCCGCGUGCGGGAAGAAGGCCUUCGGGUUGUAAACCGCUUUUGUUCGGGAAGAAAUCCUCUGGGCUAAUACCCCGGGGGGAUGACGGUACCGGAAGAAUAAGCACCGGCUAACUACGUG
rnacentral:rRNA from 1 species